rnacentral:rRNA from 1 species
GGAGGCCAUUGCUAUCAGGGUUUGACUAAGCCAUGCGAGUCGAGAGGUGUAAGACCUCGGCAUACUGCUCAGUAACACGUGGUUAACCUGCCCUAAGGUGGAGAAUACUCCCGGGAAACUGGGGCUAAUGCUCCAUAGUGGAUAUGUCCUGGAAUGGUAUAUCCUCGAAAGAUCCGUCGCCUUAGGAUGGGACUGCGUCCGAUUAGGUUGUUGGCGGGGUAACGGCCCACCAAGCCUUUUAUCGGUACGGGUUGUGGGAGCAAGAUCCCGGAGAUGGAUUCUGAGACAUGAAUCCAGGCCCUACGGGGCGCAGCAGGCGCGCAAACUUUACAAUGCGAGCAAUCGUGAUAAGGAAACCCUGAGUGCCUGUCGAUGCAGGCUGUUCAUAUAUCUAAAUCAUAUGUGAAGAAAGGGCAGGGCAAGACCGGUGCCAGCCGCCGCGGUAAUACCGGCUGCUCGAGUGAUGGCCACUAUUACUGGGUUUAAAGCGUCCGUAGCUUGACUGUUAGGUCUCUUGGGAAAUCUUCGCGCUCAACGUGAAGGCGUCUAAGAGAUACCGGCAGUCUUGGAACUGGGAGAGGUAAACCGUACUUCGGGGGUAGGAGUGAAAUCUUGUAAUCCUCGAGGGACGACCUAUGGCGAAGGCAGUUUACCAGAACA